GUCCGCAAAAUGGCCAUUUUCUGCCCUCUCACGGCGGCGACGGGGGUUCGAAUCCCCCUGGGGACGCCA
rnacentral:tRNA from 1 species